rnacentral:lncRNA from 1 species
GACAGAGGAGGCUCCGUGUCUGCAGCUAGUGUGUCAACUCAGCGUUUCUCCUCUCGUCCCUGGAAGAGCUAAAGAUGGCUGAAUUUCUAGAUGACCAGGAAACUCGACUGUGUGACAACUGCUUAGAUAUGAUCUUUGAACCACUAAACUAAGUGAGAAAGGCAAAAAUGAAGUGGAGAGACCAGACUGGUGGAGGAAAGGGUUCAGGAUUUCAUUUUUGUACAGCUUUACAGUGAAGUUUCUACCAACCCAGCCAGAGAGCAUGUUCCUGUAGUCAGGAAGCAUCCAGCCUGCUUCGAAAGCAAAAAAGAAAUUCCUGUGUUUAACUUUACCAUCCAUGAGAUCCACUGUCAAAGGAACAUUGGUAUGUGUCCUACCUGUAAGGAACCAUUUCCCAAAUCUGACAUGGAGACUCACAUGGCUGCAGAACACUGUCAGGUGACCUGCAAAUGUAACAAGAAGUUGGAGAAGAGGCUGUUAAAGAAGCAUGAGGAGACUGAGUGCCCUUUGCGGCUUGCUGUCUGCCAGCACUGUGAUUUAGAACUUUCCAUUCUCAAACUGAAGGAACAUGAAGAUUAUUGUGG